CUGGAAUGGGUUUUUGCCGAAAAGACGUUUAGGCGCACGCCUCUCUAUUGCCCAAGGAUGGGGCCGCGGCCGAUCAGGUUGUUGGUGAGGUAAUAGCUCACCAAGCCUUAACCGGUCGGGCCGUGGGAGCGGUAGCCCGGAGAUGGGCACUGAGACAAGGGCCCAGGCCCUACGGGGCGCAGCAGUCGCGAAAACUUCGCAAUAAGCGAAAGCUUGACGGGGCCAUCCCGAGUGCCAUCUGCUGAGGAUGGCUUUUACCCAGUAUAGAUAGCUGGGGGAAUAAGGAGAGGGCAAGUCUGGUGUCAGCCGCCGCGGUAAUACCAGCUCUCCGAGUUGUGGGGACGUUUAUUGAGCCUAAAGCAUCCGUAGCCGGCUGGGCAAGUCCUCUGUUAAAUCCAGCGACAAAUCGUUGGCCUGCGGGGGAUACUGCUCGGCUAGGGGGCGGGAGAGGCCGUCGGUAUUCUUGGGGUAGGGGUGAAAUCCUAUAAUCCCAGGAGGACCACCAGUGGCGAAGGCUGUCGGCUAGAACGCGCCCGACGGUGAGGGAUGAAAGCUGGGGGAGCGAACCGGAUUAGAUACCCGGGUAGUCCCAGCUGUAAACGAUGCAGGCUAGGUGUUAGGGCGGCUACGUGCCGCUCUAGUGCCGCAGGGAAGCUGUUAAGCCUGCCGCUUGGGGAGUACGCCGCAAGGCUGAACUUAAAGGAC
rnacentral:rRNA from 1 species